rnacentral:lncRNA from 1 species
CGUUGGUGCAGUCAUUGUAGAGGGUCUCGAAAUCNUAGAGGCUGUGGGUGGGGGGGUCUCUACCUUGCGUUGGUGCAGUCAUUGUAGAGGGUCUCGAAAUCCUUCCUGGAGAUGAGUUUGCAGCGGUUCACGCCGGGCUGGAUGGCCCCCAGCCCCCUCAGGAUCCGGACCUGCUCCACGUUGCACACCACGGGCGUGAUCUCCAGCCGCUUCAGCUUGGUGUAGACGGUGUGCAAGCCCCCGACCAAGUGCUUCAGGAAGAGGUCGAAAGCCUGGGGCAGGCAGAUGAGCUCGCAGCCCUCCACAGUGAAAGAGGCCACCUUGGCCCCCCUCAGAUCCACCAUCUUGCACUCAUUAUUCUGGGGGGUGUUCUCCACCGGGGACGGGGUCGAGUACACCGGCUUGCCCGGCAGGCUGCUGCUGUUAGCGGUGCUAGCGCUGGGGGUGGAGGUGCCGCCGCAGCCUGNGUGGAGGUGCCGCCGCUGCUGCUGCUGCUGGUGCCCAGGCUGGGGCUGCAAUUGUUGCCGCUGCCGCCUCCUCCGUUGCUGCUGCUGCUGCUGCCUCCUCCGCUGCUGGUGGUGGAGGUGACUGUGGCCGCCGCCGCCGCCGCUGCUGCUGCGAUGGGCUCCGGCCGGAAUAGGUUCGUCCCCGAAGAGCCUGGCGGGGGAGCGAUGGAAGAAGACGGAGACGAGGUGGCCGACGAGGUGGUGGUGGUGGUGCAGGCGGCAGAAGUUGAGAUCGGAGGUGGAGGGGGGACCAGCUGGGUCGGAGGGAUCAAAGCAGCCGGUAUAUCGAAGUUGUUGAAAACCCACUGCCCGGACUCGCUCUAUUAAUUUCCCUGUUUUCACUAUCUCAUACACAUUCUAUAGUCAUAAAACAUGCACCCGAGAAAGUUAAUACAGAGCCGAGCACGUGUGAUGUCACCAUUUCACUUCAACUUCUGAAUGAACUCUGAAUUAAUCCCCUCCAUCACCAAAAAUAUCCCUGCCAUAUCACCUGCUCUUUACCUACUCUACAGCAUGAUGGGCUCCUUCUUUUCUUCUAAUUGGGUACUUUCCCGGACAACCAUUGUGUUUCUAAACAGUUUAAAAAUCUGGUUUGUACGUGCUUACUACAACAGGUUUUGAUUAACGGUGAUGAUUUAAUGAAACGAUUGGAUUAGAAACCAACACAUUUAGGAAAGAGUUCAAGAAUCUUCAAAGCUUCUUGCUUGGUAAGUGUUUCAAACGAUUAAAUCAAACUACUGGAUUUAUUUUAACACAGACGAACACCAACAAAUAAUGAUAUUGCUCGUUUCCUCUUUUACACUUUUUUUUCCAAAUUGCAUUUUAAUUGCAAGUCGAUCCUUUAAGAAAUGAUAUUGUUAGACUUUAAUUCUCCAUUCCCACACCCUAGAAUGCAUAUCCGUAAAACUGAAAGUACUAUAACUGAUUUGAGAAUUCUCCGUGUCAAGUGAAGAUGUAUGGUGCUGAAAUCAAUAAGACUGCUUAAAAUUCAAAGACCUGCAAAUCGUUCUGUUUGUCCUUUGAUAGGGCCUGUGCUGAUUAAAAUGCGACCAAGAAAGCUUAAUUGCUGCACUAAUUAAGAAGUCUUUAAUUUCAUUCCUGGAAUAUUGUUUGAAGCAGGGCUUCUCUUGUGCUCACAUAACUGUUCAGGGCAGGUACUCUCUUUUUUCCUUUGACCAUUUCGAUAAAUGAGAAUGUGCAUUGAAACAAUAAGAUGAAUAGAUAGUUAUAAUAAUUUAUUGCUUUAAAAAAUCAGCACCUGCUCCUGAGUUCACUAUUUUAUUAAAUCCAGUUUUGCGGGCAGCUGUAACAUGUAAAAUGCAAUUAA